rnacentral:rRNA from 1 species
GACGAACGCUGGCGGCGUGCCUAAUACAUGCAAGUAGAACGCAGUUUCGAACGGGUGAGUAACGCGUAGGUAACUGCCUGGUAGCGGGGGAUAACUAUUGGGAACGAUAGCGAAUACCGCAUACUAACAGAUGGACCUGCGUUGUAUUAGCUAGUUGGUGAGGUAACGGCUCACCAAGGCAACGAAACAUAGCCGACCUGAGAGGGUGAUCGGCCAAACUGGGACGGGGACACGGCCCAGACUCCUACGGGAGGCAGCAGUAGGGAAACUUCGGCAAUGGGGGGAACCCUGACCGAGCAAAGCCGCGUGAGUGAAGAAGGUUUUCGGAUCGUAAAGCUCUGUUGUUAAGGAAGCGGUACCGGAAUAGAAAGCCACGGCUAACUACGUGCCAGCAGCCGCGGUAAUAC